GCUUGGAGUUGUGCUAGCCAUUCCAUUGGAGUUGUUGGAGCAUUCUAGGUGUCUUCUACUUUGUUUUCUCUAUGUUUAAUAUCAAUUGUAUUGGGCCGAUCAAAUCAAGUUCCCAUUGGGCGCAGGGCCAAGGGCUGAUCAUAGGAAUGAGCGACUUAGGAGGGGAGUGAGGAAUAAUUGCGUAGCGUUGACACUUAUCACAUGAGCGGGAUAUUUUGAUGGCAUCUUGGUGGAGUGUUGGCCAGUAAUAUCUUUGGCGAAAAGCCUUGUGUGUUAGGGAUCGAGAUCCAGCAUGAUCUCCACAGACUCCUUCAAGUAUUUCCCGAAGGACAGUUUCCGCCUCUGCGGGCAUAAGGCAUCUUAGGUAUGGUAGGUUAAAACCCCGAUUGUAAAGUUUGUCAUUAAUGAUCAAGUAACAGGUAGCCUUGUAUCGAAUCUGCUUAGCUUGGACUUUGUCAUUUGGAAGGUGCCAUGAGCAAGGAAUCUAUAAAUCAAGGUAAUCCAACUAUCCAUCUAUUGUAAGUUGCACACUUCAACAACCAUGGUGCUUGGUACUGCCAAUAAUUCGACCUAAAUUUUUCUACCAAUCUUGUCUUUCACCGCUGAGGCGAUGCGAGCCAAAGCAUCUGCAUAACUGUUUGCCGCUCGAGGAAUUUGGGUGAUCUGGUAGUGGAAGUGUUUGAGCAAUGAUUGUGUUUAUGCCAGAUAUGCUGCCAUUGAGCUACCCUUAACGUCAAAGUUGUUGGUGACCUAGUUAACCAUCAAUUGGGAGUCAAUGAAGAUAUCAAUUCGUUUAACCCCAAUGUGUUUGGCCAAACCUAAGCUUGCUAGGAGGGCUUCAUAUUCGGCCUCAUUGUUCGAUGCCUUGAAUUUGAAACGAAGAGCAUACUCCAUCGCCAUUUUGUCAGGGGUCGUAAAGACUAGUCCUGCUCCACAACUCUCUUGGUUGGACGAGUCAUCAACAUAUAGACUCCAUGUUGGGGCUGUUGGUUCUAUUUUCUGAGAUUCCGAGGGUAAUGAAACCACUUUUUUUAGGCGUAGAAACAAUGUCAACAGGAUAUGUGAAGUCGGCGAUGAAGUUUGCCACUGCUUAGCCUUUCUCAGCUGGCUUUGGUUGGUAGGAGAUGUCAAACUCACCCAAUGCUAUCACCCAUUUGAUCAUUCGCCCAGAAGUGUCAGGACUUUGGAGUAUCUAUCGAAGAGGAUGAUUGUUAAGCACGAUGAUGGAGUGUGCUUAGAAGUAAGGGCGAAGUUUUCGAGCAGACAUGACCAAUGCUAGAGCCAAUUUCUCAAUGUUGGAGUAUCAUGUCUCCGCAUCUUGUAAGGCCUUGCUAGCGUAGUAAACAGGUCGUUCAACAUUACCAUUAUUUCAAAUGAGAAUGGAACUUACUGCUGAAGCCGAUACCGACAGAUAGAUAAUGAGAGUGUCACCAACCUCAGGUUUGGAGAGCAAAUUGGCUUUACUCAUGUAGUCUUUGAGGUUCUUGAAUACCUCAGCACAUUCAUCAGUCCGUGUAAUGUACUUCUUACUUCCCUUAAGUGCUUUGAAGAAAGUAGCACAUCUGUCUGUAGCCUUAGAGAUGAACCUAGUUAAGGUUGCCACCUUGCCAGUAAGGUUUUGGAUGUCUUUUGAAGUUACCGGUUCCUUCAUGUCGCGGAUUGCUUUGAUUUUCUCGGGAUUAGCCUCAAUGCCUCAUUGACUUAUCAUGAAGCCUAAGAAUUUGUCAGAGCCUACGCCGA
rnacentral:sRNA from 1 species